rnacentral:rRNA from 1 species
UACGUAGGGUGCAAGCGUUGUCCGGAAUUAUUGGGCGUAAAGAGCUCGUAGGCGGUCUGUCGCGUCUGCUGUGAAAACUCAGGGCUUAACCCUGAGCUUGCAGUGGGUACGGGCAGACUAGAGUGCGGUAGGGGAGACUGGAAUUCCUGGUGUAGCGGUGAAAUGCGCAGAUAUCAGGAGGAACACCGGUGGCGAAGGCGGAUCUCUGGGCCUUGCCUGACGCUGGAGGAGCGAAAGCGUGGGGAGCAAACCGG